AAUGGAGAUGGAGGGAUUGCUUCAAUGAGUGAGUUUCCAUCCAUGCAUUUGGUGAUUGAUAUAUAUACCUUUGUUGUUGUGCUUCUGAAAAAAUUGUUGGUAUUUCUGGUUUAAUCCUUUCUGAAGUCCAUCGUUGUGUGUUUCCAAUAUGUAUCACAAAAACAAUUCCAUUCAAGUUAAUUCCUUUUUUCCUUCCUGAAAAUUGUCCAUCUGGUU